UAUAGAUUUAACCCUAAUCAGGUAUCGUUAAAUAUCGUUAAAUCGUCGAGAACGUUCUGUCAGACGAUCAAACGGUAACUAUUUAACAAGUCGGUAAAUCACAUCGAAAACCCAAGUUCUGGUCGCAGUGAGAAGCUCUGGAUGCCUUGAGGAGGGUUCACCAGCUCUGCUUCAACAACGUUGACAUGGAUCUUACCAACGUCAUCAACAGUCAAGGCAGACAUCUUUCUUCAAGAAAUCUGCCCAAAAGGAAAAACACUGAAAUUGG